rnacentral:lncRNA from 1 species
GCCUACAACGACCACCAGACCCAACUAAAAUGGGGUUAUUAAGUCUCUGACCGUCCCUCUACAUGUUGUGCAAAGCAUGAACAAACCAAAAGACACGGACAUACAUAAAAUUACAUCAAACAUCUUGUUUAGAAUUUUGUCUGUGACAUUCUCCCCCACUAAUUCCUUCGACGUUCUCGUCGAAGCCUUCGUUGACACUGUAACUUCUCACCUUCGCUGAGUCUUCAAUCUUCUACUCCAGCUACAAUGCGCCUCUUGGCUCCCAACUGCUCUCUGGUGCUGUUGUUGAGUAGUCGAAUUUUGAUCCGCUAUGCUGCUUCAACUCGCCAAUGACUCUAACUCUAGUGUGGGGUUGGCUGNNNNNNNNNNNNNNNNNNNNAGAAUUUUGUCUGUGACAUUCUCCCCCACUAAUUCCUUCGACGUUCUCGUCGAAGCCUUCGUUGACACUGUAACUUCUCACCUUCGCUGAGUCUUCAAUCUUCUACUCCAGCUACAAUGCGCCUCUUGGCUCCCAACUGCUCUCUGGUGCUGUUGUUGAGUAGUCGAAUUUUGAUCCGCUAUGCUGCUUCAACUCGCCAAUGACUCUAACUCUAGUGUGGGGUUGGCUGAGUUGUGCUGAUCCCUGUUCGCUCAUUUGGCAAUCGACCUUCGUCCACCUGCUCUCGGGUCACACUCAGACGAAACACAGCUCUAGGACCGUCUGUCGCCUAGUAGCUCUCGAAGUCCACCGACUUUGCUAAAAUUGGUGUACCAUUGUCUGAAUCCUAGGCCUCUGUCCCUACCAGCAUAAUCUUCGCUACGCACCGCUUCCUUCAUGACAAUUUGAA